UACGGGGGGGAGCAAGCGUUGUUCGGAUUUACUGGGCGUAAAGGGCGCGUAGGCGGCGCAACAAGUCACUUGUGAAAUCUCCGGGCUUAACCCGGAGCGGCCAAGUGAUACUGUCGUGCUAGAGUGCGGAAGGGGCUACUGGAAUUCUCGGUGUAGCGGUGAAAUGCGUAGAUAUCGGGAGGAACACCCGUAGCGAAGGCGGCCGACUGGACCACACCUGACGCUGAGGCGCGAAGGCCAGGGGAGCGAACGGG
rnacentral:rRNA from 1 species